rnacentral:lncRNA from 1 species
AUGGACGCGCCUUCCCGUGAGCCUGGUGUCCGCGGACGCGGAGGAAGCGUUCCUGCCACACACAGCAAGAGCCACCGUGUCGGCGGGGCCGAGGGCGCCGGGGCGGCUGCCGGGGGUCGCGCGGGGGGGGGGGGGGGGGGAGGCGUUCGGGCGCCUCGUCAUCCGGGAGAAGCUUACGCGACGGCAGGACGCGCUCAGCGGGGCUCCGGGAGGCAGCACGUACCGAGGGGACGCCGGGCCUCCGGGUCCUCCGGGUCCUCAGGGUCGGUGCGCGUCCAGCCGCGGCGACGGGCCUCGGGGGAGCCGCCGGGAGCUCUGCAGGGCGGGAGCAGGAGACCAAGGCUCGGAAGGCCGCGCCCCGCCCUGCCCCCUCCCGUGGGGGCCUCCGCGGGCCGAGGCGCGCUUCUCCGUGGUUCCAGCGGCGGCGUCGGGAAAGGCCCUUCCUGCCCCCGCCCCGUCCUCCACCUCGGUCGCUGCCGCCCGACCCCAGCACGUGCAGCUCCUACACGCCGGCCCGCAGGCGCCGCACACACCAAGCCCUGGAGGCCCGGGCCGAGGGCCCCGCCGCCACCCUGCACCCCCCGCAGCCCCGGUCCCCACCCACACACCCGCACACCCGCUCCCGGGGACCCGCAGGGCGACGGGGAGCUCGCGCUCACCUGGCUGGGCCCCGGCGGUUCGUCCUCGGCGAGCGAGCCCUCGGUGCGCGACAGACUGCGGGUGGACGCGGAGUCCCCGGAAGUGCUGGUGACCAGCUCGCCCAGGGCGUCCACCUGCCGCCGCAGGCUGUGCAGGGUCCCCUCCGUGCGCCGCCGGCCCUCGCUCAGCACCUCGGCCUGCUUGGACAUGCAGCGGCGCAGCUGGGCCUGGAGGCGGGACGGCGUGAGGCGGGCGGUUCCGCUCCCCUCGGGGCUCCCCGGGCGCUGUGCGUCCCCUGCGCCUCCAAGGGACACCCAGGGGCGGCCCCAGAGCCGGCCUCCCAGGCCCCCGGAGCCAACCCCGAUGACCAACUUCCAUCUGAGGAGCCCUCGGCCUCACGCGAGCACGUCGCUGCCCCCCCCCCACCCCCGCAUGUCACCUACAGCCUUAACCCCAGAUCUGAGGCUGCCCACAGGGGAGCGGGCCCGCGGGCCUCACGGGCUCCCGGACGCCACGUGUUCGGGGCCCAGCGGCCUCCCGGCGACGCCCGAGCCGCCCUCUAGGUCCGCAGCCUCUCGACCAUCCGGCCCUCCCAUACCACGGUGGCGCUUUCCUGUCCCAAGGCCUCAGGUGUGA